AUUGAACGCUGGCGGCAGGCCUAACACAUGCAAGUCGAACGGUAACAGGAAGAAGCUUGCUUCUUUGCUGACGAGUGGCGGACGGGUGAGUAAUGUCUGGGAAACUGCCUGAUGGAGGGGGAUAACUACUGGAAACGGUAGCUAAUACCGCAUAACGUCGCAAGACCAAAAAGGGGGACCUUCGGGCCUCUUGCCAUCGGAUGUGCCCAGAUGGGAUUAGCUAGUAGGUGGGGUAACGGCUCACCUAGGCGACGAUCCCUAGCUGGUCUGAGAGGAUGACCAGCCACACUGGAACUGAGACACGGUCCAGACUCCUACGGGAGGCAGCAGUGGGGAAUAUUGCACAAUGGGCGCAAGCCUGAUGCAGCCAUGCCGCGUGUAUGAAGAAGGCCUUCGGGUUGUAAAGUUCUUUCAGCGGGGAGGAAGGGAGUAAAGUUAAUACCUUUGCUCAUUGACGUUACCCGAAGAAGAAGCACCGGCUAACUCCGUG
rnacentral:rRNA from 1 species